rnacentral:rRNA from 1 species
CGGCGGACGGGUGAGUAACGCGUGGGUAACCUACCCUGUACACACGGAUAACAUACCGAAAGGUAUGCUAAUACGGGAUAAUAUAUUUGAGAGGCAUCUCUUGAAUAUCAAAGGUGAGCCGGUACAGGAUGGACCCGCGUCUGAUUAGCUAGUUGGUAAGGUAACGGCUUACCAAGGCGACGAUCAGUAGCCGACCUGAGAGGGUGAUCGGCCACAUUGGAACUGAGACACGGUCCAA